rnacentral:rRNA from 1 species
UACGAAGGGAGCUAGCGUUGUUCGGAAUCACUGGGCGUAAAGCGCACGUAGGCGGAUGUGUCAGUCAGGGGUGAAAUCCCGGAGCUCAACUUCGGAACUGCCUUUGAUACAGCACGUCUUGAGUCCGAUAGAGGUGGGUGGAAUUCCUAGUGUAGAGGUGAAAUUCGUAGAUAUUAGGAAGAACACCGGUGGCGAAGGCGGCCCACUGGAUCGGUACUGACGCUGAGGCGACGAAAGCCAGGGGAGCAAACGGG